rnacentral:SRP_RNA from 1 species
CCCAGAGCUUGAAGCAGGCCAGCAAGGGCCUGCAGGGUACAAUGAACCCCGUCCCGCGGGGCCGGCGGAGGCGGGCGGCCAGCCGGAGGGCCGGCCGAAGCCGCCGUAGCCGGGGCCACCCGGCGAGGCCCGGAAGGGAGCAGCCGACCCCGGCCGACCGGCGUUCGCGGGGGGAACGGGGGGAGAAGCCCUGCAGGGUAACCCUCUGGCCUGCUUCAAACUCUGGG